UUCCAGACUCCUACGGGAGGCAGCAGUGAGGAAUAUUGGUCAAUGGCCGGAAGGCUGAACCAGCCAAGCCGCGUGAAGGACGAAGGUGCCAAGCAUUGUAAACUUCUUUUGUCAAGGGACAAAAUCAGGCUCGAGAGCCUGACCGAGGGUACUUGAAGAAAAAGCAUCGGCUAACUCCGUGCCAGCAGCCGCGGUAAUACGGAGGAUGCGAGCGUUAUCCGGAUUUAUUGGGUUUAAAGGGUGCGCAGGCGGAAUAUCAAGUCGGCGGUAAAUUGGGGGGGCUAACCCUCUACGAGCCGUUGAAACUGGUUUUCUUGAGUGAGCGAGAAGUAUGCGGAAUGCGUGGUGUAGCGGUGAAAUGCAUAGAUAUCACGCAGAACUCCGAUUGCGAAGGCAGCAUACCGGCGCUCAACUGACGCUCAUGCACGAAAGCGUGGGUAUCGAACAGGAUUAGAUACCCCAGUA
rnacentral:rRNA from 1 species